GACGGACGCUGGCGGCGUGCCUAAUACAUGCAAGUCGAGCGCAUGCACCCGGCGGACCUCUUCGGAGGGAAACCGGGGAAUUGAGCGGCGGACGGGUGAGUAACACGUGGGCAACCUGCCCUCCAGACGGGGAUAACUCCGGGAAACCGGAGCUAAUACCCGAUAAUCAAGCCGAUCUCCUGAUCGGCUUGUAAAAGCAUGGUCUUCGGACCAUGCACUGGAGGAUGGGCCCGCGGCGUAUUAGCUAGUUGGAGAGGUAAGGGCUCCCCAAGGCGACGAUACGUAGACGACCUGAGAGGGUGAUCGGCCACACUGGGACUGAGACACGGCCCAGACUCCUACGGGAGGCAGCAGUAGGGAAUCAUCCGCAAUGGACGAAAGUCUGACGGUGCAACGCCGCGUGAGUGAUGAAGGUUUUCGGAUCGUAAAGCUCUGUUGUGAGGGAAGAACAAGGGCGGUUCUAACAGGGCCGCCCCCUGACGGUACCUCACCAGAAAGCCCCGGCUAACUACGUGC
rnacentral:rRNA from 1 species